CAGACGCCCGACAAGACCCUCAUCCCCGUAAUUCGCAGAAGAAAGAGACACAGGUCCCCCUUGGGAAUUGAGCCCACAACCCUGGAAUUGCAAGUGCCAUGCUCUACCAACUGAGCUACAUGGGACGGAACCACAUUGAAAAAGAACUACACAUGCCUGCUGCAAGCGUCACGUAAUUCACCAGGGCCAUGAUGGUUGAACGAGACUGCUGAGUCGAGGCAAAGGUUUCAGCAUGAUGUUGCACGGCCCCAUGUCGCAAGGAUCUACACAAUUCCUGGAAGCUGAACAUUUCCCAGUUCUUCCAUGGCCUGCAUACUCACCUGGCAACAUUCCACAGGCCACAAUCACCAGCAUGAUCAACUCUAUGCGAAGGAGGCAAAUGGUGGUCACACCAAAUACUGACUGGUUUUCUGAUCCAAGCCCCUACUUUUUUUAAGCAUAAGAAGAACCUGCUCUCCUCCACCAGUACAAGGAGAUGAAUUCAGGUUCAAUUGUCUGGUGUCUGGUGUUGUAGUGGCUAAGGACCUUUCAGUCAGAUAUAAUCAGAUUUCAGCUGCUUUGCAAUGUUAACAUCACAGAAAUGUGCAAGCAUCAUCUGGACUGGACACCACCAAGCAAACAUAUUUUUGAUCAGGACUUUUACAAAGAAAAGGCCGUGAGGGCAGGACAGAAAUAGGCUAAACCUUUGUGUGUUUUACAUUUUUACUACUUGUAGGCAUAACUUUUGAACUUUUAAAGAUAUUUUAAUCUUGAAAUAUAUCUGACAUUCUCUUGUUACCUCUUAUUCACAGGUGUCCGUCUCAAACUUGGGCGUAGCUGGAACUACCGCCACUCUCGUUGUUGGAGAGUCAGAGACCUGAGCCCUAGGACCUGAGCUCCAGGACUACCUGACAUGAUGACUCCUUGCUGUCCCCAGUCCACCUGGCCAUGCUGCUGUUCCAGUUUCAACUGACCUGAGCCCUAGGACCAUGCCCCAGGACUACCUGACAUGAUGACUCCUUG
ensembl:lncRNA